rnacentral:tRNA from 15 species
GGCCCCAUCGUCUAGAGGCCUAGGACACAGGGUUCUCAUCCCUGUAACUCCGGUUCGAAUCCGGAUGGGGUCAC